rnacentral:tRNA from 1 species
GGGAGGGAUAGGUGAGUGG